UAUUCAGAUUUUAUUUGUCAAUUUUUUUAAGUUGGCAGCAAAUUUGCCCAAAAAUGGCGGAUGAUUGCGGUACUUUCUAUAUCUAGUGACUUUAUCAUUUUCAUGCAUACUAUAUGUCAGACUAUUUCUUUGCAAAUGAUAGUAUACUAAGCUGACAGAAAACACCAAUAGAAGAAAGUACUGUUUAUGGUCUCCUAAUAUCAGUCUCCAGUUUUAGUUUAACAGAUUCAGUAAACUUGAUUGAAGAAGAGCACGAAAGAAGGGAGAUACAGUUCUGGACAAGAGACACUGUGGAGGUGUAUAGAAGUAGGCUAGAGGAACGAGCUAGAGGACGGAGCAUAGAGGAGGAGUGGAAUAAUUAGAAUCCAAAAAUCAAUUACGUGGAAACAAAUAACUGAAGGAGAGGGGAGAGAGAAAAGAAGCAGUCGUGAGAUAGUGUGCAAAAAAGAAAAACAUAGAAAGAAAAGGGGGAACAGUUGAGAGAACAGAAAAAAAAAUACAACAGAAAAUGUAAAGAUAAAAAGAUAGAGAAAAAGAAAAAAACACGAAGAACAGAUCAGGGAACUAAGAACAGACGACUUUUGGAACGUGAUAAACAAAAGAAAAGGGAAAAAUAGAACAAGUGGAAGAUAAAUACAGUUAGAGGAAUGAAAACAUUUUAUUAAGGUACUACAACGAAAGCAGGAGAAAGAGGAAGCGGUAGGAUGAGAAGGAGUUGAAGGAGAUGAGAUAAUAAGAGAGAGAUUGGGCAGCAAUUCAAAAGACAGAAGAAAGGGAACGGCAGGAAGAGAUGGAAUAGGAAAUGCGACUUGGAUUUUCACCACAGAUAGAGCCAAGGAAAAGAUGAGGAGGUAGUCAACAAGAUAUGGAAAGAAGGGGGGGUACCUUCAGAGUGUAAGGAAGGGGUAAUAUUGCAGAUCUUCAAAAGAGGCAAUAAUAGUUAUUUACGUUAUAAGGCCGGGAAGUGGCUUAUUAAAGUACGAGUUUAGAUGUUUACGGACGAGGCGACGAAGGAGCCGAGUUCGGAAUUUCUAAACGAGUGCUUUAAUACUCACUUCACGGCCGUGUAUCGUACAAAAUUUUAUUUCAUACUGUCUCAAUUUUGACGCGGCAUGUUCUUCUGGUGGUGAAUUUGCAAGGGUGGUUUGUUCAAAAAGUGAAGAAGCUGUAGAAAACCUCAUCCCCAGAAAUCAGUAUUAGUUAUAUAGUUUGUGCUUGGCGAAAAAAGGUACAAUGAGGAUAAUAAUGUGAACGAAAACAUUAUGCUUUCUAACGUUUUGGAUGCGGCCAAAAAGUUCUCUAGUUCUACAUUGUGGUCCAAAUAUUAAAUGUGCAAAACCAUUAUAAAUGAAAACGCGAACAUUUCCAAAUAUGUCAAGUUGACAGCGCCUACAAAAGAUUACAUUUUAGUAAAGGACACAAAAACUCACGGUAGACGUAUUUCCAGUCAUUAAUAAGUGCGAUGGAGUGAAUUUUUUGAACUUGUACAGAAAUUAGUGCAAUUUUCGCCCCGAGAAUAUGGUUGAGAAGGUGGCAAGAGGUUUCCACCACCACAGUCCCCAGCGAUGGGGGUGUGUCCUCUACGAGUAUUAAAAUUAUUGAGAAUUCUAAUUGUAUAAUUAAUAGUCCUAAGCUUUCGGAUGAUUAAUGUA